rnacentral:miRNA from 1 species
GCACCUUAGAGACCAACUAAGUUUGUUCUGUGUAUGAGCUUUUGUAAGUGUGCAUGCACACGAAAGCUCAUACCUAGAACAAACUUAGCUGGUCUCUAAGGUGC